AUUGAACGCUGGCGGAAUGCUUUACACAUGCAAGUCGAACGGCAGCACGGAGAGCUUGCUCUCUGGUGGCGAGUGGCGAACGGGUGAGUAAUAUAUCGGAACGUGUCCAAUAAUGGGGGAUAACGAGUCGAAAGAUUCGCUAAUACCGCAUACGCCCUACGGGGGAAAGCAGGGGAUCGUAAGACCUUGCGUUAAUGGAGCGGCCGAUAUCUGAUUAGCUUGUUGGUGAGGUAAAGGCUCACCAAGGCGACGAUCAGUAGCUGGUUUGAGAGAACGACCAGCCACACUGGAACUGAGACACGGUCCAGACUCCUACGGGAGGCAGCAGUGGGGAAUUUUGGACAAUGGGGGCAACCCUGAUCCAGCCAUUCCGCGUGAGUGAAGAAGGCCUUCGGGUUGUAAAGCUCUUUCGCAAGGGAAGAAAACUUAUGAUCGAAUAAAUCAUGAGGUUGACGGUACCUUGAUAAGAAGCACCGGCUAACUACGUGCCAGCCGCCGCAGUAA
rnacentral:rRNA from 1 species